GCGCGCGCGCGCGCGUGUGUGUGUGUGUGUGUGUGUGUGUGUGUGUGUGUGUACCUUAAUCCCAAAUUCCCA
rnacentral:miRNA from 1 species